AUUGAACGCUGGCGGCAGGCUUAACACAUGCAAGUCGAGCGGGGUGAUGGUGCUUGCACUAUCACUUAGCGGCGGACGGGUGAGUAAUGCUUAGGAAUCUGCCUAUUAGUGGGGGACAACAUCUCGAAAGGGAUGCUAAUACCGCAUACGUCCUACGGGAGAAAGCAGGGGAUCACUUGUGACCUUGCGCUAAUAGAUGAGCCUAAGUCGGAUUAGCUAGUUGGUGGGGUAAAGGCCUACCAAGGUGACGAUCUGUAGCGGGUCUGAGAGGAUGAUCCGCCACACUGGGACUGAGACACGGCCCAGACUCGUACGGGAGGCAGCAGUGGGGAAUAUUGGACAAUGGGGGGAACCCUGAUCCAGCCAUGCCGCGUGUGUGAAGAAGGCCUUAUGGUUGUAAAGCACGUUAAGCGAGGAGGAGGCUCUUUUGGUUAAUACCCAAGAUGAGUGGACGUUACUCGCAGAAUAAGCACCGGCUAACUCUGUGCCAGCCGCCGCGGUAA
rnacentral:rRNA from 1 species